UAGGGAAUAUUGCACAAUGGGCGAAAGCCUGAUGCAGCAACGCCGCGUGAGCGAUGAAGGCCUUCGGGUCGUAAAGCUCUGUUGUUAGGGAAGAACAAGUACCGUUCGAAUAGGGCGGUACCUUGACGGUACCUAACCAGAAAGCCACGGCUAACUACGUGCCAGCAGCCGCGGUAAUACGUAGGUGGCAAGCGUUGUCCGGAAUUAUUGGGCGUAAAGGGCUCGCAGGCGGUUUCUUAAGUCUGAUGUGAAAGCCCCCGGCUCAACCGGGGAGGGUCAUUGGAAACUGGGGAACUUGAGUGCAGAAGAGGAGAGUGGAAUUCCACGUGUAGCGGUGAAAUGCGUAGAGAUGUGGAGGAACACCAGUGGCGAAGGCGACUCUCUGGUCUGUAACUGACGCUGAGGAGCGAAAGCGUGGGGAGCGAACA
rnacentral:rRNA from 1 species